rnacentral:rRNA from 1 species
GUGUCAGCAGCCGCGGUAAUACGUAGGGGGCAAGCGUUGUCCGGAUUUAUUGGGCGUAAAGAGCGUGUAGGCGGCCUUGCAAGUCCGUUGUGAAAACUCGAGGCUCAACCUCGAGACGCCGGUGGAAACUGCAAAGCUAGAGUCCGGAAGAGGAGAGUGGAAUUCCUGGUGUAGCGGUGAAAUGCGCAGAUAUCAGGAGGAACACCCGUGGCGAAAGCGGCUCUCUGGGACGGUACUGACGCUGAGACGCGAAAGCGUGGGGAGCAAACAGGAUUAGAUACCCUGGUAGUCC